GGAAUCUUCGGAUUCUAGUGGCGGACGGGUGAGUAACGCGUAAGAAUCUAACUUCAGGACGGGGACAACAGUUGGAAACGACUGCUAAUACCCGAUGUGCCGAAAGGUGAAACCUAAUUGGCCUGAAGAAGAGCUUGCGUCUGAUUAGCUAGUUGGUGGGGUAAAGGCCUACCAAGGCGACGAUCAGUAGCUGGUCUGAGAGGAUGAGCAGCCACACUGGGACUGAGACACGGCCCAGACUCCUACGGGAGGCAGCAGUGGGGAAUUUUCCGCAAUGGGCGAAAGCCUGACGGAGCAACGCCGCGUGAGGGAGGAAGGUCUUUGGAUUGUAAACCUCUUUUCUCAAGGAAGAAGUUCUGACGGUACUUGAGGAAUCAGCCUCGGCUAACUCCGUGCCAGCAGCCGCGGUAAUACGGGGGAGGCAAGCGUUAUCCGGAAUUAUUGGGCGUAAAGCGUCCGCAGGUGGUCAGCCAAGUCUGCCGUCAAAUCAGGUUGCUUAACGACCUAAAGGCGGUGGAAACUGGCAGACUAGAGAGCAGUAGGGGUAGCAGGAAUUCCCAGUGUAGCGGUGAAAUGCGUAGAGAUUGGGAAGAACAUCGGUGGCGAAAGCGUGCUACUGGGCUGUAUCUGACACUCAGGGACGAAAGCUAGGGGAGCGAAAGGGAUUAGAUACCCCUGUAGUCCUAGCCGUAAACGAUGGAUACUAGGCGUGGCUUGUAUCGACCCGAGCCGUGCCGAAGCUAACGCGUUAAGUAUCCCGCCUGGGGAGUACGCACGCAAGUGUGAAACUCAAAGGAAUUGACGGGGGCCCGCACAAGCGGUGGAGUAUGUGGNUUAAUUCGAUGCAACGCGAANAANCCUUACCAAGACUUGACAUGUCGCGAACCCUGNNGAAAGCUGGGGGUGCCUUNNG
rnacentral:rRNA from 1 species